rnacentral:lncRNA from 1 species
AUGAAUAACCACCACGCUGCGCUUUGGUCCGCCUCUCCUUCAGAUGAAGAAAACCAUUACAGAAUCACCCACCAACCAAGGACCAAGCGGCGUGGUAACGGGCAACGGCAAAAGCAGCAGCAGGAGAAGCAACAGAGGCAGCAGGAGCAGCAGCAGCAGCAGUGGGAGAGGCUGCACUAUUUGGAGAGAUGGACUUGGGAGGAGAUUCUAGACGGUAAAGGACCCUGGGCAGAGCCAGGAGAAUAUUGCCGCCCCAAGGCCGAGCUGGAGGCAGCAAAAGCAGAGAGGCGGCAUUAUGAGGAACUAGCACGGCAGAGCGGAUGGAAGCCCGAGAGUCAGCCCCAAAAAUGUAUUGGGGGGGGGCUCACAGGGAGUAUGGCUAUGCCAGGUAGGAGACCUGUGCAAACUCCCUGUGGUUACCGGGGGGCAAGAGAGACCGGGCAGGCACCGUGUUAUGCGGUGGAGCGCACGGUGUCCCCAGUGCGGGUGCACAGCCCGGUGCGGUACAUUCCAGCUCCGCGUAUCGGCCGGGCUAGAGUGGGCAUCGAGCCAAGUGCCAUGAAGCCGGCUCUACGCAUCUGGUCUCCAGUGCGUCUCCUUGGGCCGGCUUACAUGGCACCAACCUUGCGCACGGUGUCCCCGGUUCGCCUGCAUAGCCCAGUGCGGGCUAUUCCACCUCGCCGCACUGGCAGGGCGACCGGGACCAUUCAACCGGGUAAGGUUGGGCAGGCUCGGUGCUCAAGAGCUCCAGUGCGCCUGCAUGGCCCGGUCUAUCCGUCACCACCUCCACGCACCAGCCCUCCGGUGGCAGCCCCCCGCACCAGGCUGUCUCUCCGGCCCAUCCUUACAGGGGCUCCCUCCUCUCCAGCGCUGCCGGAGCCUCCCGCCUGUCCGGCGCCGCUGCCGGAGCCUCCCGCCUGUCCGGAGCCUCCCGCCUGUCCGGCGCCGCUGCCGGAGCCUCCCGCCUGUCCGGAGCCUCCCGCCUGUCCGGCGCUGCGGCCGGAGUCUCCCGCCUCUCCGGCGCUGCUGCCGGAGCCUCCCGCCUGUCCGGAGCCUCCCGCCUGUCCGGCGCCGCUGCCGGAGCCUCCCGCCUGUCCGGAGCCUCCCGCCUGUCCGGCGCCGCUGCCGGAGCCUCCCGCCUGUCCGCCGGAGCUUCCCGCCUGUCCGGAGCCUCCCGCCUGUCCGGCGCUGCUGCCGGAGCCUCCCGCCUGUCCGGCGCUGCUGCCGGAGCCUCCCGCCUGUCCGGAGCCUCCCGCCUGUCCGGAGCCUCCCGCCAGAGCCCCUCAGCCCAGAGGUGCCAGAGCUUCUGCCCCUCUGUCCAGAGCUUCCGCCCCUCUGUCCCGAGCUGCCCCUCUGUCCAGUGGGGUCAUUGAGAGGGGUGGCCAUGGUGAGAAAGCCACGGAGGCGGACAAUAAGGCGGACUAA